GUUGGGAGUGUGCUUUCAAAGAUAUUUUGCCAGUGCUACUUUGAGACUCCUGUGUUGGGAGAGGUACUUUAGUUUUGGUAUAUUUUAAUUGCACACUAAUCUUUAGUUCUAUACAGAUUUAUUUGUACCACCUGGGGUUUCAAACAGAGACACAUCGUAUUUCAACAUGAGUUUCGUCAUCCUAGUUCCAAUCUGUCAGUUCUUGACUGCUGAAUCCUUUGUUAAUAAUUGAUCCAACCUCUAGGUCUUCCUGACUUUCCACUGUGUUGUCCUCCACUCAUCAAAGGUCAUUGUUUCUUCCACCAAUGCUGAAUCCUUGAUCUCCCUCCGGUCCUGCUUCCCUCAUAUCUUUGACACACCGCUUGAACAUCUAUGGUGAUGGUGUGCACCCUUGUCUGUCUUGAUGUGAAACCAGUCUUUGUCCAUUUUCUGUCAUGACCUUGGCUGUUAGUCAGUGUUGAGGUUCUUAUUUAGAACAAUGAGGACAGGUGAAAAGAGAAUGUAUAAAAAAAUAAAUAAAAAUUGA